rnacentral:lncRNA from 13 species
AAUAUUUUUGUGGCCAAUUAACAAUUUCUUUGUGGAUUUUGAGGUGUGCUUGGGGAUAUUUUCUUGCGGGAAAGUGUUAAUGAACAAUUUGGCUUUGUAUUCGCACACAUCUAUUCCCUGCUCUUAAGCAAGAGGACUGAGCUCAUUACAUCCCACAUGGUCAUAAUAACUCAAAUGAAUUCAGUUUUGACCCGUUCAAAGCCAGGCUGAAACUCUCCCCCAAAAUAGUCUUUAUCAACAGGGUCAUAUUGCCCUUUGAGGGUAGAAUGUGGUUUAUUAAACAUCAAGGAGUAAAACUGUGGGUCAACUGAGACCUCUAUGGGUUAACUGAGACUUCUAUGGGUUAACCUACUCUUUGGUUUUUGGAGGAACGGUUCUGCAUGUAAGUCCAUCUCUCGUGAGUUAUUAGCUACAUGUAAGCCCAUCUCUCGUGAGUUAUUAGCUACAUGUAANNNNNNNNNNGACUGAGAUGGCCAUUGCAAAAUGUAAAUAUUUUUGUGGCCAAUUAACAAUUUCUUUGUGGAUUUUGAGGUGUGCUUGGGGAUAUUUUCUUGCGGGAAAGUGUUAAUGAACAAUUUGGCUUUGUAUUCGCACACAUCUAUUCCCUGCUCUUAAGCAAGAGGACUGAGCUCAUUACAUCCCACAUGGUCAUAAUAACUCAAAUGAAUUCAGUUUUGACCCGUUCAAAGCCAGGCUGAAACUCUCCCCCAAAAUAGUCUUUAUCAACAGGGUCAUAUUGCCCUUUGAGGGUAGAAUGUGGUUUAUUAAACAUCAAGGAGUAAAACUGUGGGUCAACUGAGACCUCUAUGGGUUAACUGAGACUUCUAUGGGUUAACCUACUCUUUGGUUUUUGGAGGAACGGUUCUGCAUGUAAGUCCAUCUCUCGUGAGUUAUUAGCUACAUGUAAGCCCAUCUCUCGUGAGUUAUUAGCUACAUGUAAGUCCAUCUCUCGUGAGUUAUUAGCUACAUGUAAGUCCAUCUCUCAUGAGUUAUUAGCUACAUGUAAGCCCAUCUCUCGUGAGUUAUUAGCUACAUGUAAGUCCAUCUCUCGUGAGUUAUUAGCUACAUGUAAGUCCAUCUCUCGUGAGUUAUUAGCUACAUGUACUGUAAGUCCAUCUCUCGUGAGUUAUUAGCUACAUGUAAGCCCAUCUCUCGUGAGUUAUUAGCUACAUGUACUGUAAGUCCAUCUCUCGUGAGUUAUUAGCUACAUGUAAGUCCAUCUCACUAAAAACACCUGUUGCCAGUCAACAUAAAUAAGGACCGGUGGAUCAAUUCUCUAUAUGUUGUCAAGGGGGAAGGAUACUGACGAUCAAAAAACAACAUGUACAGAAAUACUGAGAUUUAAAAAAAGUACAUUUUUAAAAAGC